rnacentral:rRNA from 1 species
ACGAACGCUGGCGGCGUGCUUAACACAUGCAAGUCGAACGAUGAAGCCCAGCUUGCUGGGUGGAUUAGUGGCGAACGGGUGAGUAACACGUGAGUAACCUGCCCUUGACUCUGGGAUAAGCGUUGGAAACGACGUCUAAUACCGGAUACGAGCUUCCACCGCAUGGUGAGUUGCUGGAAAGAAUUUUGGUCAAGGAUGGACUCGCGGCCUAUCAGCUUGUUGGUGAGGUAAUGGCUCACCAAGGCGACGACGGGUAGCCG